rnacentral:rRNA from 1 species
UGAUCAUGGCUCAGAUUGAACGCUGGCGGCAGGCCUAACACAUGCAAGUCGAACGGUAACAGGAAACAGCUUGCUGUUUCGCUGACGAGUGGCGGACGGGUGAGUAAUGUCUGGGAAACUGCCUGAUGGAGGGGGAUAACUACUGGAAACGGUAGCUAAUACCGCAUAACGUCGCAAGACCAAAGAGGGGGACCUUCGGGCCUCUUGCCAUCAGAUGUGCCCAGAUGGGAUUAGCUAGUAGGUGGGGUAACGGCUCACCUAGGCGACGAUCCCUAGCUGGUCUGAGAGGAUGACCAGCCACACUGGAACUGAGACACGGUCCAGACUCCUACGGGAGGCAGCAGUGGGGAAUAUUGCACAAUGGGCGCAAGCCUGAUGCAGCCAUGCCGCGUGUAUGAAGAAGGCCUUCGGGUUGUAAAGUACUUUCAGCGGGGAGGAAGGGAGUAAAGUUAAUACCUUUGCUCAUUGACGUUACCCGCAGAAGAAGCACCGGCUAACUCCGUGCCAGCAGCCGCGGUAAUACGGAGGGUGCAAGCGUUAAUCGGAAUUACUGGGCG